GCGUAAGCAAAUCCGCAUAGAAAUUUAAUAUGCAGACAGCCUUAUCUGAGUCGACCGCGUUCCCCCUUCGAUCUUACCAUUGGCCUCCACCGCCGCAGUGCCAGCCCAACCCUUAGGCGACAUAGGCGGUCGCCUAAGGCCCCAGCCCCAAAGAAGGUCCCGGUUGGCCGGUUCUCUUUCUAUGCCCCUCCUACCCGCCUCAGUAGUAUCAGUGCUGUGCUCCACUAGAUCGCACCGUCUUCAUCUCCUCUUCCCUCCGGAGCUCCAGCACCAUCACCUCACCACUGGCGGCGAGGCCUUGAGAAAACCAGGAUCUACACAGCUUCUUCACCGGUGGGGACGAGGAGGCAAGGUCGUCAUUUGUCCCAGCAUCUCAAGCUCCGUCAUU
rnacentral:lncRNA from 1 species